CGGUCCAGACUCCUACGGGAGGCACCAGUAGGGAAUCUUCCUCCAUGGACGAACAAUGACCAAACAACGCCCCCCCGGGGGAGAAAAGAUGGUUUUCGAAUCAUAAAAUUCUGUUGGAAAAGAAGAACGUUGGUGAGAGUGGAAAGCUCAUCAAGUGACGGUAACUACCCAGAAAGGGACGGCUAACUACGUGCCAGCAGCCGCGGUAA
rnacentral:rRNA from 1 species